UACAGAGGUCCCAAGCGUUGUUCGGACUCACUGGGCGUAAAGGGUGCGUAGGUGGCGGGGCAAGUCUGAUGUGAAAUCUCCGAGCUUAACUCGGAAACUGCAUCGGAUACUGCUUCGCUCGAGGGUUGGAGGGGGGACUGGAAUACUUGGUGUAGCAGUGAAAUGCGUAGAUAUCAAGUGGAACACCAGUGGCGAAGGCGAGUCCCUGGACAACUCCUGACACUGAGGCACGAAAGCUAGGGGAGCAAACAGG
rnacentral:rRNA from 1 species